CCUCCCUAGCCUAUAUAAACGCAUAAGCAUGAGCGACACUAAUAAGCAAAAUAAGGUAAUAUUAAGAAUUUAAGAUGACAUCUUCUAUGGUCUCUUCAAUGGUUUUCUGUCUCCUUCUUCUUGUGUUUCCGCAUAUGGAUAAAGCCCUUGGCGCACAAGAGGAAGCCAAGAAACAAAGUGCAGAAGAGAUUUACCAUCCUAGUGGCUCUAUUGGCAGUGGGAUUAUCAACCGUAUAAAAAACUGCAAAUUACCUCUUUGUCAUCGCGGUGAUAUCCCAAAUGUCCCGAUACCUCCUCCUGUCGGUCGGGUCCCCGCUAUAUGUAUAAAAGACCCCGAUUAUUGUCGGCUCGUCGUUAUGUGUAAAAAAUACCCCAAAACUUGUCGCGCAUUUUGUAAAAAAUACCCCAAAAAAUGUCGUCCUGGUCAUGUCUGACAUUUCCAUAAAUCUCCUCCGUUCCACAGGCCUUUGAAAGGCACACAAGGACCUGGUCAUUGACCUCACUCUAGCUUUGAAUGCGUGUGUGUGCGUGCAUGUUUAAUUUCUUAUAUUGUGGUUUAAUUUGGUUUGUGGUUUCUGUCCUUGUUUUAUCUGUGCAUGUGUUUGUCAUAUUUUCCAGUGUUUUCGAACCGCUCCGUCGUUGCUAUAAUAAAUAAAACUUGUGUUUCCUUUUGUGUUCAA